rnacentral:tRNA from 1 species
UAGCUCAGUCAGUUGGAGCGUGGUGCUGAUAACACCAAGGCUGCAGGUUCGAUCCCCGC